CGCCUUUUUGAUUUUUGGGUUCUGCUCAGAUUGAACGCUGGCGGCAGGCCUAACACAUGCAAGUCGAGCGGAUGACGGGAGCUUGCUCCUUGAUUCAGCGGCGGACGGGUGAGUAAUGCCUAGGAAUCUGCCUGGUAGUGGGGGACAACGUUUCGAAAGGAACGCUAAUACCGCAUACGUCCUACGGGAGAAAGCAGGGGACCUUCGGGCCUUGCGCUAUCAGAUGAGCCUAGGUCGGAUUAGCUAGUUGGUGAGGUAAUGGCUCACCAAGGCGACGAUCCGUAACUGGUCUGAGAGGAUGAUCAGUCACACUGGAACUGAGACACGGUCCAGACUCCUACGGGAGGCAGCAGUGGGGAAUAUUGGACAAUGGGCGAAAGCCUGAUCCAGCCAUGCCGCGUGUGUGAAGAAGGUCUUUGGAUUGUAAAGCACUUUAAGUUGGGAGGAAGGGCAGUAGAUUAAUACUCUGCAUGAUUUUGACGUUACCGUACAGAAUAAGCACCGGCUAAC
rnacentral:rRNA from 1 species